rnacentral:lncRNA from 1 species
CCGACGCUGGCCUGCGGCGUCUGUUUGUGCAGAGCGAGGCCCCGCCGGCCGGGCUUGACGUCAGGCUGGCAGGGCCUGGAACGGCCCCGCAUCGCGGCCCCCUGGGGGCAGGACGACACCGCUGGGGGCCGAGGGCAGGGCACGCCUUCGGAAUCCGGCUUCGAAGCCGGCCGCCUGACCUGGGGCAAGUGCUUUCAACUCUCUGAACUUCGGUUCCUCAUCUGCCAGUUGGCAGACGCUCAGCAAAUCUUCCUAGACUCACGGGGCGAAUUGUACAGUUGGGUAAAUCGAGGCCCAGAGAUGGCAAAAGGACCGUCCAAGGUCGUACAGCCACCCGGAAUUACAAUUCUUUUCUGCCGGGUCACACGCUGUCAUCCACGUGUUACCUAAGAGAGCUUUCCAGCCUGUGCUAAGAAAACUGCCCCACAUCAUCUGCAGUAGGACGGGGGAGUUGGAGCCCUGGUCAGGCCACUCUGCUACUGACCACAGUUUUCUCAUCUCUAAAAAGGCGCAGUAACAAUAUAAUUACCGUAUGCAGUCCCCCAGGAUACAGGGUCAAAGGAGAGCACAACCAUCGCAGUUGGAAGCCCAUGGGGCAGCCCAGUGCAGAUGCAUCUGACUUACGAAACUUCAGUGACACCUGCUCUGUGCCAGACACUGAAGAUGGAGCAGUGAACAGCACUGACCCAGCCUGUCCUCCUGUUGCCUGCAGGCCAGAAGCAAGGUCUCGCUGUGUUACCCUGGCUGGAGUGCAGUGGCUACUUACAGGCAUGAUCAUAGCAUACUGCAGCCUCGAACUCCUGGACUAGAGCAGUUCUCCUGCCUCAGCCUCCAGAGCAGCUGGGACUGCAGACACGCACCACAGAGCCCAGCCUGAGUCAUUUUGAUUCUGUAACUGGCUUCCUCUCGGCGGGCAGGCUCACACCCUCCACCCCCAGCUGGAGAUGGAAGGAGGAUGCUCACCGCCCAUUCCUCAUGCAGGCCAUCGAUGGAAAUGUCAGACAGUGCGAGUCCACGCCUGAACACUUCUGGGGUCCGCUCUGGGACUGACACUGGCAGAUCCAUCGGUGAGCUCCCGCCUGCCACCUCUGGGCCUGCAUUGCGGUGAUAGGGCCAAGGGCCUGGGCCUUCAAUUCUCCAGACUUGCCAAAAUGCUCAGCGCAGGCCUCGUCGGCAACUGCAGACAAGCAGAGGCAGCACCUGGGCUCUGCCUGUGCCUGGCACAGUGAAGCGAGGGUGGGGGCAGGAAUGAGGGUCCUCUCCAUGCAAGGGGGGAAGAUAGAAGAACAAAAUUUCACCCUAAUGUAGUGUCUUUAGACCGUGCAAUGUUGUGCUCCUGUUAGUCUGAUAUCAGGGGCUUGCAGCCUGGCAAAGGAAAAAAAACAGGCUGAGGCACAUGAUAGAAGACAGGCAGGGAUGCCACAAUCAUAACCAUGGCAAAGACCAGGAUCAGAAAGGCCCACCAUCUCUGACCCCAAAUCCCUGGGCAGAUGGUUCCAGAACUCAGAAUUUUCCCAGUUGUAGAAAGAUGGGGCCAGGUGCAGUGGCUCACGCCUGUAAUCCCAGCAUUUUGGGAGUACAAGGUGGGCGGAUCACCUGAGGUCAGGAGUUCGAGACCAGCCUGGCCAACAUGGUGAAACCCUGUCUCUACUAAAAAAAAAAAAAAAAAUUAGCCGGGCGUGGCGAUGCAUGCCUGUAAUCCCAGCUACUCGGGAGGCUGAGCCAGGAGAAUUGCUUGAACCCGGGAGGCGGAGGUUGCAGUGAGCCAAGAUCGCGCCACUACACUCCAGUCCGGGCGACAGAGCAAGAGUCCAUUCCCCCACCACCAAAAAAAAAAAAAAAAGAAAGAAAGAUGAUGUGAUACAUAUCACAUAUUUCCUAACACCCCCAACCAAACACAUUUAUGCAUAUGCAUAAAGCAGACGAGGAAAGAUUCUAAAUAGGCUCUGAAUCUCAGUUUUCUCAUCUCUACAAUGGGGCAGUGAUGGCAUGCACCUCCCAGGGCUGUUCUGAGAAUCUGAUGCCUCCCAUUGCACUGGUGAGCCUGGCACAGGCACAGGUCCCACCCCAGGCCCUUUGAACUGGCUGUUCCUUUGGCCUGGAACAUUCCUCCCCAGAUACCUCCUGAGAGGGCUCCCUCACUUCCUUCAAGGCACUGCUCAAAUGCUACCUCUUCACAGAGGCUUUCCCUGACCACCCCGUCUCUUUCCUCUUCCUGCAUAGCCUCUGUCACCUGACAUUUUAUGUCAUAAAUUACUCAUUUAUUAAUUUCCUGCUCUCCCACAGUGGCACCCGAGCUCUGUGAGGGCAAGACUUUGUUCGGUUGUGGGCUAUGCCCCCAACCCCUCGGACAGUGCCUGCACAGGUGGACAUUUUUGUUGGAUGAAGGAUUUUCUGUUAAAUGUGUCUGGCACACACAGAAAAACAAAGCCCAGCAGGUACGAUGGUGAUUAUUAUUGUUACUGGUGGCGCUCUAUUAUUGUUAUUAGUGUCUGUUGAAAAAGACCCUGAGCUAUACCAGCCCUUGGUUCUCCAGCCUGUGAAAUGGGCAUCCUGGGCACUGAGGCACUAGCCUUGGGAAGCUGAUAGGGGGUCCCUGCAGGAGAGACAAAGAACACUGCCCACCCCCCCGGGGGAGCCUGCGCCCCUCACCGGAAAGAGAAGCAGGGGGGAGCAGAGGGAGCUUGCAGCCCCACACGCAGGGCUGCCAGAAGGCCAUACAUAAUUCAUUGCCAAAUGGGGCUGCGGGCGGCUCUCCGCGGCGUGCGCUGGGGGCUCACUCUGCGCCUGGCACUUCGCUGACUGCGCCUCACACGUUGCCUCAUUGCAUCUUCAUGGAUUUGCAGGGUGUGACCCUUCCCCCUGUUUUACCCAGGGGGAUCCUGAGGCUCAGAGGAUGGGGCCACCGUGCUAGUCACACAGCCUCUCUGUGGCCAAGCUGGGCCUCGGGCCAGCAGAUUCGGCCCCCAGCGGCCCCCAUUCACUGCCUCUCUGCUGAGGGAAAAGACGGGCCUGGGGAGCGGGUGGGAGGCACAAAGGAGACCCCGCUCUGAGACAGGCUGCAGAAGAGGGAGCUGGGUCUCAGCAGGGCUGGGGAAGGCUCUGGCCCCAGCCCUCCGCCCAACCCCCUGCCCUCCUCUCCUGGAGGAGAUGCUCCCCAAAUUAGCCAUCAUGAGCGCUGGCUCUGGGGGUUGGGCGUUGGGGAGCAGUUUGCUCAGCUGUAAAAUGGGAAUAACAGAAGCCGUCCCUGGGACUAUGAGAUCAAGGUGCUCAAGAAAAGUGGUGUCUGCUGAGGGGAAAAGCCAGUCCCAAAAGGUUGCAUACUCUCAUUCUGUUUAUUUGUUUUUGUUUUUGAGACAGGGUCUCGCCCUGUCACCCAGGCUGGAGUACAGUGGCGCAAUAUGGGCUCACUGCAACCUCCACCUCCUGGGCUCAAGUGAUCCUCCCAUCUCAGACCCUCAAGGAGCUGGGGCUACAGGCACGUGCCACCGUGUCCGGCUAAUUUUUGUAUUUUUUGUAGAGACAGGGUUUCACCAUGUUGCCCAGGCUGGUCUCAAACUCCUGAGCUCAGGUGAUCCGCCUGCCUUGGCCUGCGAUAAAAUUGCACAGAAGUAAAUACACACACGUGAGGAUACGGAAAACCGGGGAAACCUGAGCAAGAGCAGUCAGACCCCGGCUGUGAUGGCGCCCAGUAGUUCUGCGAGAUGUUACCAUUGGGGAAACUGAGUGAAGGCGGGUACCUGGGAUCCCUCUGUUUUCUUUUUUGUUGUUGUUGUUAUUUUGAGAUGAAGUUUCCCUCUUGUUGCCCAGGCUGGGUGAUCCACCUGCCUCGGCCUCCCAAAGUGCUGGGAUUACACGCGUGAGCCACUGUGCCCAGCCUCUCUGUUUUAUUUCUUCUUUUUUUUUUUUUUU